AGUGUCCUUGUUCUGCUCCCUCCUCUCACCCACCCCACCCCUGCCAAGGCCUCCCUAGCCCUUCAACUGUGAGGCUUUGGGAGGUCUCAGGCUCAGCAUAUCUCUUUCAAAGAAGACUUCCUGACAGAAGCGUUGCGUCCAUGUAGACCUGAGACCCCCUGGCUAUGUGUCUCAGGAUGUGUCCUUCAGUUCUGCCUCCUGAGCCUCAAGGUAGGUUAGCCUAAGUCUUG
rnacentral:lncRNA from 1 species